UCUGUGGUACAAUACCUCAGUCUUAUCAGGUGUUAAUUAAAAUCACCUGGAAAUGCUGAGGUUGCGUUUCACUGAAC
rnacentral:pre_miRNA from 15 species